UAUUUUAUUCAACAAUCAAUAAGAUAAACAUACAUAGACGUACUUCCCCAUCACCCUUCUACUUUUAUGUCUUCUAAGAACUUCAGGUGACCACUGGGACUAAAGGUGGAGCCAAGCCUUUUCAGCCUUCCCCACUGACCCCAAGCACUGUGUGCUCCACACAAAGCCAUGCGCAGCCAGUGGAAUGUGGACAAUUCCUCGAUGUUCUGGCAUGGACAUGAUCUCCUUCGUGGUCUGUCUCAAAUGCAUCCUCAUUAAUAAGUGGAUCUCUCUUGCCCGAAACAGAAGCUAAGACAGUGGUUCUGAACCUGUGGGUCAUGACCCCUUAGUCACCUAAGACCAACUGCAGAUCAGAUAUUUACACCACGAUUUAUAUCAGUAGCAAAAUUACAGUUAGGAAGUAGCAACUACAGUAAUUUUAUUCUUGGGGUCACCACAACAUGAGGAACUGUAUUAAAGGGUGGCAGCAUUAGGAAGGUUGAGAACCACUGCUCUGAGGAGACAAAUCUCAGUAUAACUCAGGACAAAUUUCUGUUCCUUUCAAUGCACUUUAACUCCAGGGCAGCGGCAGCAGCAGCUUAUCGUACACACUGCGAAGGAUCAGGGCUGGUAUAGAUACCUGCCCUCAGUGAGCCAGCUCCUAAGGGACAGCCCUGGAACCCCUCCAGAGACGUCACAUAGACUGCUUGCAGAGAUGUGAGGACCAGGACUAGAGUUGUCAUGAGAUGUACAGCAGGGCAGGGCAGUGUGCUGGGGGACCAUCUGGGCCAGACAGCUCCUUUUUGUUGUUGUUUGUCAAUGCUCAAUCUUACAAGGAAGCAUACUAAAUAAUAUUUAAAAACAGUAACAAAAGAAAAGAAUCCACAUGCUUUAGAUUUUUAAGAAAGAAGACAGGUUUAUGCUGUGUAAUGACCUGAUCUCCACAGACCUUAUACAAAUCUCAUCUCAAUUUAGUUGGUUAGGCAACUUAAAUAAAGGUUAAAUCCAGUGGCUUCAUGUGAUAUCUAUUACCAUUGUUCAAAUGGGCACUAUUUGACCACAACUUGGACCAUGAAGUGUUAGCAGGACAACUUUAAUCUGUGUCUGUUUCAGCUUCCAACACGGGAUUCCGAUCAAUAAGUUGGGGCCCCAAGCUUCUUCAGGAAAACAGUUUUUAUUUGUGCUAGCAGAUUCAUCCAAACUUCUGUUUCAAAGAACCAAGCCCCAAAGGCUCACUAGACGGAGCCUUUUGGAUUUUGCGUCUUUGUCUCCCAUACAUGGAAGGGAAACUAAUCACCCCACAUCAUCCCCAAGACUUGUGAACGACUGCUCUUUCUGUACUGAGUACUCACAGAUGUGGAAACAGACCCACAGGGAACUCACGGGGCUAUCGGCAAUAGAGGCACCAUCAGUCCCAGCACCAAGUCCCAUCAGGGAAGUAGCCAAACUCUGUGUGAAAUAAUUAAAAAAUUAUUUUUCACUUUCUUAAUUUCUUUUCAAAAAUUUUAUAAAUGUAUAUUGUAUUUAUAUCAUUCCUCCCCUUCCUCUCCUCCUAUGCCCCCACCUUGUGCUCCCUUUCAAAUUCUUGUAUUUACA
ensembl:lncRNA